rnacentral:sRNA from 1 species
AAGACAGCCCUGGAAAGAAAUGUUCUUGUUUUGUCCAUAAAACACAACAGCAGAGGCACCAACAAUGCAAGUUUCCCCAUACUGCUCCAUCAGAGUGCUCAAGCUUGUUCCUGCUGAGAUCACUUUCUAGGAAUGAAGAGAAAUAUAGUCCCAUGCCUAUUCAAUCCUUGGGCUACC